ensembl:rRNA 5S_rRNA 5S ribosomal RNA
GUCUGUGGCCAUACCACCCUGAACGCGCCCGAUCUCAUCUGAUAAUUCAGCAGGUAUGAAGUGCUGCCAAUCUCGCUGUUCCAAGCAUGAUGAAAUCGCUGCAGAAU